rnacentral:rRNA from 1 species
ACUCCUACGGGAGGCAGCAGUGGGGAAUCUUAGACAAUGGGCGCAAGCCUGAUCUAGCCAUGCCGCGUGAUCGAUGAAGGCCUUAGGGGUUGUAAAAGUCUUUCAGAUGGGAAGAUAAUGACGGUACCAUCAGAAGAAGCCCCGGCUAACUCCGUGCCAGCAGCCGCGGUAAUACGGAGGGGCUAGCGUUAUUCGGAAUUACUGGGCGUAAAGCGCACGUAGGCGGAUGAUUAAGCGAGAUGUGAAAUCCCGGGCUCAACCUCGGAACUGCAUUCGAACUGGUCAUCUAGAGUACUGUAGAGGGUGGUGGAAUUUCCAGUGUAGCGGUGAAAUGCGUAGAGAUUGGAAGGAACAUCAGUGGCGAAGGCGGGCCACCUGGACAGAUACUGACGCUGAGGCACGAAAGCGUGGGGAGCAAACAGGAUUAGAUACCCUGGUAGACUGUC